GGGAGCCGGGAGAGGGGGAGGGGUCGGAGGCCACGGGUCCAGAAACCGUUACUGGGAAGGCAAGUGGGCUGCGGCAGCCCUGGGCUGGGUGGGGCCGGGGUGGUCGAACCCGAGACCCGCGUGGGAGUUGAGGGGCGCGAGGCUGGUGUCCUGGUUCGCGGGAGCCAGCGGAGCAGGGGCCCGGGAAGGGGCGCGCGAGCCCGGGGGACGGUAACCGCUGCUGCACGGGGAUUGCUCCGGGCCCUCUCAGAGCCUUCUCCCUCAAGGGCGCUCUCAGGGAUCCACCAGAGCCCUAAAAACCGAAGCCUCUGGAACCUAUAUCCUCCCUCUGUCCGUCUCGCCCCAGAAUCUUCCCUGCGUCCUCCUCGCCCCCUCCCUCCUGCAGAUAUUUCUCUUACCACCUGGGCAGCUGGGCAGUUGCCCCACCGUUUUGAGCAAAGUGGAGCUAUGAAGCCAGAAACCUACAAGGAUGUCCUGCUGGAGCUUGGCUUCAACCAGACUUUAACAACUUCAUGAAAUGACCAUGAUAGACGCAGUCUGCAUCAGGAGCUGCUGAUCAACCACUGAAGUUAACCUUCAACACAACGACGUGGCUGUUACGGUCAAACAGCAACUCCUCAAAGGAAGAUAAAUGUUUUUUCCAGGGAAAUGACUGAACAUGACUGACAGAUAUGAACAGAUACAACCCUCCCUGCAUCUUGGAAUUUGACUUUUAGCCCAUUAGAUUUGCAGUACUUGUCAGCCCCUUCCUCCUGUCCAUUGGAACUCCCAAACGUAGCCCUUCCCAGCUAGGCCAACAAUAUGAAAUUGUACUCUGAAAGAUACUGAAAUGCAAAACCAAGAGUUAUAAACUGCAGCUAUACAUAAGGCUUCUUUUUUUUUUUUUUUUUAAUUUUUUUUUCAACGUUUAUUUAUUUUUUUGGGACAGAGAGAGACAGAGCAUGAACGGGGGAGGGGCAGAGAGAGAGGGAGACACAGAAUCGGAAACAGGCUCCAGGCUCUGAGCCAUCAGCCCAGAGCCCGACGCGGGGCUCGAACUCACGGACCGCGAGAUUGUGACCUGGUUGAAGUCGGACUCUUAACUGACUGCGCCACCCAGGCGCCCCCAUAAGGCUUCUUAAAUGCAGGAAAAUUUGAAUAACGGAGCAUAAGUUAAUACAGUUAAAAAGUGUUAUUUUGGGGCACCUGGGUGGCUCAGUCGGUUACACAUCAGACUUCAACUUCAGCACAGGUCAUGAUCUCAAAGUUGGUGAGGUUGAGCCCCAUGUCAGUCUCCUGUUAUCGGCGCAGAUCCCCUAUCCCCCCCUCCCCCUCCUUCAGCUUACACUCUCUCUGAAAAAUAAACGUUAAAAAAAUAAAUAAUCUUUGAUGCUA
rnacentral:lncRNA from 1 species